rnacentral:rRNA from 1 species
AACUCUUGACAUGGUGGUCGCGAGAACCAGAGAUGGUUUUUUUCAGUUCGGCUGGACCACACAC